CCACUUUCCCAUCUUUCUCUACAAGUACACUGACCUUUUUAUAACUGAAAUCCACCGGCUGCACAUCACCUUCAAUUGGAAACACAGUGCGCCUGUUGACAAAGAUUGCCCACAUAAAUAGCACCAUAAAUGCCAGUAAUGCUCCACAUCCAGUCACGAAAAUCAUCCCAGCAAGAAAAGUAAAAGGACAAAAUCUCCUACUAUGCACUCUUAAACUUUGAUUACCAUUAUCCACAGAACCAUGAGGAUCAACUGGUAAGGAAUGCAUCCAAUUAGGAAAUUUCCUCAACCUAAACCUCCACGAAUACACAUAAUAUGUCUCUGAGGAGUUGCCUCCAUUUCUUGAGCCUAGGGCCACAUAAACGUCAUUAACUUCCCAUGUUUUUGACAGAUCAAUCGAAUAUGCAAUAAUGGGAUUAUAUGGCCUUUUAUCACUAAAUUUACUUAACCUAAUCUCUAAUCUUUUGGAACUCGGAUCAUAGUCAAUCCAAGACUUCAGUUUCUCUCCACUAUUUGUCCCCAAAUGCAUGGACAUUUCAUUAUUAACACUUACAGAUACAAGAGUAGUGUUAGAUUCACCUACAUUGCCAUCCAUUGAAAAGCCAAAUUCGAUACCCAGAAACCC
rnacentral:misc_RNA from 1 species